UACGAGAGGCGCAAACGUUAUUCGGAAUUACUGGGCUUAAAGAGUUCGUAGGCGGCGCAGAAAGUAGGGUGUGAAAGCCCUCGGCUCAACCGAGGAAUUGCGCUCUAAACUACUGUGCUUGAGGGACCUAGAGGUGAGCGGAACUGAUGGUGGAGCGGUGAAAUGCGUAGAUAUCGGAAGGAACAUCAGUGGCGAAAGCGACUUCCUGGACCAAUACUGACGCUCAUGUGCGAAAGCGUGGGGAGCAAACAGG
rnacentral:rRNA from 1 species